GGGACAGUAGGUUGGUCGUGCCACCGGUACGUACUGGUCUCACUGAUUCCUCCUUCCUGAAGAACCGUAAUGCCAUUAAUUUGGUGUUGCGGGGAAUCAGGACUGUUACUUUGAAAAACUUAGAGUGUUUAAAGCAAGCUAACGCUUGAAUACAUUAGCAUGGAAUAAUGAAAUAGGACGAUCGAUCCUAUUUUGUUGGUUUCUAGGAUUGACGUA
rnacentral:rRNA from 1 species